rnacentral:rRNA from 1 species
AUUGAACGCUGGCGGCAGGCCUAACACAUGCAAGUCGAACGAGUGGCGGACGGGUGAGUAAUGUCUGGGACACUGCCUGAUGGAGGGGGAUAACUACUGGAAACGGUAGCUAAUACCGCAUACCAUCGGAUGUGCCCAGAUGGGAUUGGCGAGGAGGUGGGGUAACGGCUCACCUAGGCGACGAUCCCUAGCUGGUCUGAGAGGAUGACCAGCCACACGGGGACUGAGACACGGUCCAGACUCCUACGGGAGGCAGCAGUGGGGAAUAUUGCACAAUGGGCGCAAGCCUGAUGCAGCCAUGCCGCGUGUAUGAAGAAGGCCUUCGGGUUGUAAAGUACUUUCAGCGGGGAGGCGUUACCCGCAGAAGAAGCACCGGCUAACUCCGUGCCAGCAGCCGCGGUAAUUC